rnacentral:rRNA from 1 species
GAUGAACGCUAGCGGCAGGCUUAAUACAUGCAAGUCGAGGGGCAGCAUGGUGUAGCAAUACACUGAUGGCGACCGGCAAACGGGUGCGGAACACGUACAGAACCUUCCUUCGAGCGGGGAAUAGCCCAGAGAAAUUUGGAUUAAUACCCCAUAGUAUAUUGGAGUGGCAUCACUUUGAUAUUAAAGAUUUAUCACUUGAAGAUGGCUGUGCGGCUGAUUAGGUAGUUGGCGGGGUAACGGCCCACCAAGCCUACGAUCAGUAACUGGUGUGAGAGCACGACCAGUCACACGGGCACUGAGACACGGGCCCGACUCCUACGGGAGGCAGCAGUAAGGAAUAUUGGUCAAUGGACGAAAGUCUGAACCAGCCAUGCCGCGUGGAGGAUGAAGGUCCUCUGGAUUGUAAACUUCUUUUAUAUGGGACGAAAAAAGGCUUUUCUAAGUCGUCUGACGGUACCAUAUGAAUAAGCACCGGCUAACUCCGUGCCAGCCGCCGCGGUAAGAC